rnacentral:rRNA from 1 species
AUUGAACGCUGGCGGCAGGCCUAACACAUGCAAGUCGAACGAGUGGCGGACGGGUGAGUAAUGUCUGGGAAACUGCCCGAUGGAGGGGGAUAACUACUGGAAACGGUAGCUAAUACCGCAUACCAUCGGAUGUGCCCAGAUGGGAUUAGCUAGUAGGUGGGGUAAAGGCUCACCCAGGCGACGAUCCCUAGCUGGUCUGAGAGGAUGACCAGCCAAACUGGAACUGGUACACGGUCCAGACUCCGACGUGAGGCAGCAGUGGGGAAUAGUGCACAAUGGGCGCAGGCCUGAUGCAGCCAUGCCGCGUGUAUGAAGAAGGCCUUCGGGUUGUAAAGUACGUUCAGCGGGGAGGCGUUACCCGCAGAAGAAGCACCUGCUAACUCCGUGCCAGCAGCCGCGGUAAUUC